ensembl:lncRNA
GUGUACCCCAAUGGGCUGCGGGUGUACCCCAAUGGGCUGCGGGUGUACCCCAAUGGGCUGUGAGUGCACCCCAAUGGGCUGUGGGUGUUCCCCUAUUAGCUGUGAGUGCACCCCAAUGGGCUGUGGGUGGACCCCUAUUGGCUGUGAGUGCACCCCAAUGGGCUGUGGGUGUACCCCUAUUGGCUGUGAGUAUACCCCAAUGGGCUGUGAGUGCACCCCUAUUAGCUGUGGGUGUACCCCAUUGGCUGUGAGGCGCACCCCAACGAGCCGUGGGGGGGGGGUGGGGGGCUGCACCCCACUGAGCUGCGGGGUGCGCCCGGUGGUGAUGGGUGGGCGGCUGCGCCGGAUGACCUCGGAGGGCUUUUCCAACCCUGGCGAUUUUAGGAUUCCAGGACGAUCUGCGGGGUGCACCCCAUCAACUGCGCGUCGGACCCCAUUCAAUGCGCACUGCACCCCAUCAACUGCGCGUCGGACCCCAUUCAAUGCGCACUGCACCCCAUCAACUGCGCGUCGAACCCCAUUCAAUGCGCACUGCACCCCAUCAACUGCGCGUUGCACCCCAUUCACUGCGGGCUGCACCCCAUCAACUGCGCAUUGUACCCCAUUAACUGCGCGUUGUACCCCAUUAACUGCACGUGGUACCCCAUUAACGGCGCGUUGUACCCCAUUCACUGCACGUGGUACCCCAUCAACUGCGCAUUGUACCCCAUUCACUGCGGGCUGCACCCCAUCAACUGCGCGUUGGACCCCAUUCACUGCGGGCUGCACCCCAUUCACUGCGCGUUGUACCCCAUUCACUGCACGUUGUACCCCAUUCACUGCGCAUUGUACCCCACUAACUGCGGGCUGCACCCCAUUAACUGCGCAUUGUACCCCAUUCACUGCACGUUGUACCCCAUUCGCUGCACAUUGUACCCCAUUCACUGCGGGCUGCACCCCAUUAACUGAGGGCUGCACCCCAUUCACUGCACGUUGUACCCCAUUCACUGCGCGCUGCACCCCAUUCACUGCGCAUUGUACCCCAUUCACUGUGCGUUGUACCCCAUUCGCUGCACGUGGUACCCCAUUAACUGCACGUGGUACCCCAUUAACGGCGCGCUGUACCCCGCUGAGCAGCGGCUGCAGCCCACGGAGCUGUGGGCGUUCCCGACCCCCUCCGCAGCUCCCGUUUGCGUUGCGCGAUCCCGAAGCCGUUCCUCCGAUGUCCGAAGGGCCGCCGAAGGGCC